AGUGAACGCUGGCGGUAGGCCUAACACAUGCAAGUCGAACGGCAGCACAGAGGAGCUUGCUCCUUGGGUGGCGAGUGGCGGACGGGUGAGGAAUACAUCGGAAUCUACUUUUUCGUGGGGGAUAACGUAGGGAAACUUACGCUAAUACCGCAUACGACCUACGGGUGAAAGCAGGGGACCUUCGGGCCUUGCGCGAUUGAAUGAGCCGAUGUCGGAUUAGCUAGUUGGCGGGGUAAAGGCCCACCAAGGCGACGAUCCGUAGCUGGACUGAGAGGAUGAUCAGCCACACUGGAACUGAGACACGGGCCAGACUCCUACGGGAGGCAGCAGUGGGGAAUAUUGGACAAUGGGCGCAAGCCUGAUCCAGCCAUACCGCGUGGGUGAAGAAGGCCUUCGGGUUGUAAAGCCCUUUUGUUGGGAAAGAAAUCCAGCUGGCUAAUACCCGGUUGGGAUGACGGUACCCAAAGAAUAAGCACCGGCUAACUUCGUGCCAGCCGCCGCUGUAAGAC
rnacentral:rRNA from 1 species